AUACGUAGGGGGCGAGCGUUGUCCGGAAUGAUUGGGCGUAAAGGGCGCGUAGGCGGCCCGGUAAGUCUGGAGUGAAAGUCCUGUUUUUAAGAUGGGAAUUGCUUUGGAUACUGUCGGGCUUGAGUGCAGGAGAGGUAAGUGGAAUUCCCAGUGUAGCGGUGAAAUGCGUAGAGAUUGGGAGGAACACCAGUGGCGAAGGCGACUGACUGGACUGUUACUGACGCUGAGGCGCGAAAGUGUGGAGAGCAUACAGGAUUAGAUACCCUGGUGGUCCACACUGUAAACGAUGAAUGCUAGGUGUAGGGGGUAUCGACCCCUUCUGUGCCGCAGUCAACACAAUAAGCAUUCCGCCUGGGGAGUACGGCCUCAAGGUUGAAACUCAAAUGAAUUGACGGGG
rnacentral:rRNA from 1 species